rnacentral:rRNA from 1 species
GGCCGCGGGAUUAGAGUUUGAUCCUGGCUCAGAUUGAACGCUGGCGGCAUGCUUUACACAUGCAAGUCGAACGGUAACAGGGAGCUUGCUCCGCUGACGAGUGGCGAACGGGUGAGUAAUGCGUCGGAACGUGCCGAGUAGUGGGGGAUAACGCAUCGAAAGGUGUGCUAAUACCGCAUACGAACUGAGGUUGAAAGUGGGGGACCUUCGGGCCUCACGCUAUUCGAGCGGCCGACGUCUGAUUAGCUAGUUGGUGAGGUAAAGGCUCACCAAGGCGACGAUCAGUAGCGGGUCUGAGAGGAUGAUCCGCCACACUGGGACUGAGACACGGCCCAGACUCCUACGGGAGGCAGCAGUGGGGAAUUUUGGACAAUGGGCGCAAGCCUGAUCCAGCCAUGCCGCGUGUCUGA